rnacentral:lncRNA from 10 species
AAGUCCUAUUACCCUUAAGUUUCCUCUUAAAACUAACUUUAAAAGUUAGUUUCAAAUAUCACUCAUAUUGUAGAUACAUGCUAUAGUAUUUAAUGGUAAAAUAUCAUUCUACAACUUCCUUCCAAAUGGUUCAGUGAAAGAUAUGAGUGAGUGUGCAUUUAUUAUGCUUUUAUUAUACAUAUAUAGAGUGAAUGCACCAAAAUGUUAACUUUCGGAUCUAAGUAGCAUGCAGGUGGAUCCUAGUUCAUUGUGCUAUUCUUUCAAAUGUUAUGUAUGUUUCAAUUUUUUCAUAACAAAAAGUUGGAGAAAACAGGGCCGGGCGCGGUGGCUCAUGCCUGUAAUCCCAGCACUUUGGGAGGCCGAAUGUUGGGAUUACAGGCGUGAGCCACUACGCCCAGCCUAUAUUUGGUUUUCUACAAUGAACAUGUAUGACUUUUGUGGGACAGUCAUUUAUCCUAACUGGUUGAGACAU